UACGGAGGGUGCAAGCGUUGUUCGGAUUUACUGGGCGUAAAGCGCGCGCAGGUGGGUGUGCAAGUCGGACGUGAAAUCUUGAGGCUCAACCUCGAGGCUGCUCCCGAAACUGCACGCCUAGGGACUGGUAGAGGCUGGUAGAAUUCCUGGUGUAGCGGUGAAAUGCGCAGAUAUCAGGAGGAACACCGGUGGCGAAGGCGGGUCUCUGGGCCGAUACUGACGCUGAGGAGCGAAAGCGCGGGGAGCGAACAGG
rnacentral:rRNA from 1 species